UGGGGAAUAUUGCGCAAUGGGGGCAACCCUGACGCAGCCAUGCCGCGUGAAUGAAGAAGGCCUUCGGGUUGUAAAGUUCUUUCGGUAUUGAGGAAGGUUGAUGUGUUAAUAGCACAUCAAAUUGACGUUAAAUACAGAAGAAGCACCGGCUAACUCCGUGCCAGCAGCCGCGGUAAUACGGAGGGUGCGAGCGUUAAUCGGAAUAACUGGGCGUAAAGGGCACGCAGGCGGUUAUUUAAGUGAGGUGUGAAAGCCCCGGGCUUAACCUGGGAAUUGCAUUUCAGACUGGGUAACUAGAGUACUUUAGGGAGGGGUAGAAUUCCACGUGCAGCGGUGAAAUGCGUAGAGAUGUGGAGGAAUACCGAAGGCGAAGGCAGCCCCUUGGGAAUGUACUGACGCUCAUGUGCGAAAGCGUGGGGAGCAAACAGGAUUAGAUACCCUGGUAGUCCACGCUGUAAACGCUGUCGAUUUGGGGGUUGGGGUUUAACUCUGGCGCCCGUAGCUAACGUGAUAAAUCGACCGCCUGGGGAGUACGGCCGCAAGGUUA
rnacentral:rRNA from 1 species